GGAAGAAGCUGCACCAGGUACAGCUGGUUGGAGUCAAGUGGAUCCGCGAGAAAAAAGAAGGACAAUAUUGAAGUCCAGCUUGAAGUGCAAUUAUAAGUACAACAUCUGAGCCGGUUUUGCCCCUGCGACACUGACGAUGCUUCUCACAGAAAAUUUGUCAGUGACUGCUGCUGGAACAAGUCAUUUUUCUGUUCUCUCUUCUCUGCUUUUAUUGCCGGUUUGAAAGUUUACAUCGCACUUGUAUACUUCACGAUUGUUUUGUUCCCCAGCUUUUCACUCAAAUCUGACAUACACACACACACACACACACACACACACACACACACACAUAUGUAUGCGUGUGUCUGCCCGUCUGUUGAAUGUGACUUGUUUUGGGCAGCCUAUCGUCCGAGGAAUUCCGUUGCUGUCGAAGAACGCGAUGAUAAUAUGCAUGUUGAUAUUUUGGAGGCUGAGCCCAUCAUGACCAGUAGAUACUCGGCCGUUGCUGGGGAAGAAAGCGAUGAUGAAGACGCGGAUGAUGAUA